rnacentral:lncRNA from 1 species
UGUCCUAGGAGGCGUCAAUUGUGAAACUAUUCCACACUCCUUGAGAUAAUCGUGGAAUUCAAGACUUAGGUACUCUCCUCCUCGAUCGGAUCGAAGCAUCUUGAUUUUCCUGCCCAAUUGAUUCUCCACUUCAUUCUUGAACUCUUUGAACUUUUCAAAGGUGUCUGACUUUUGCUUGAUUAAGUAGAUAUACCCAUAUCUACUAUAGUCAUCGGUAAAAGUCACAUAGAAGCGGUUCCCAUCCUUCGUGGUUGAUCUAAACGGUCCACAUACAUCGGUAUGUAUUAGGUCCAAUAGACCCUCGCCCCUUUCACAUGUACUCGUGAAGGGUGACUUAGUCAUCUUUCCAAGCAAACAAGACUCGCAUGUGUCAUCUUCCCUAAGGUCGAAUGACUCCAACACUCCAUCCUUUUGGAGUUGGGCUAUGCGUUUCUUGUUGACAUGUCCAAGACGACAAUGCCACAAGGAUGCUUUAUCCAUACUAGUGGAAGAAUCAAUAUUCAAAACAUCAUUUCCUAAGUUAUCAACAAUCAUAACGGUUUCAUAUAUUCCAUUACAUGGUAUAGCUUCAAAGUAAAAGACACCAUUUAGAUAAGCCAAAAUAGAACCAUUCUCAUUAUUAAAAGAAAAUCUAAAUCCUUGUCUAUAUAAACCAUGAAAUGAAAUGAUGUUUCUUGCCAUUUCUGGCGAAUAGCAACAAUUGUUCAAAUCUAAAACUAAACUAUUCCUAAGCACUAAGGAAUACACUCCAAUCUUGGUCACAGGCGACGAUCUUCUGUUCCCCAUGAUUAGAUUGAUCCUUCCUUGCUCCACAUCCCUACUUCUUCUUAGUCCCUGCACAUUAGAACAAAUGUGAUAACCACAACCGGUAUCAAGAACCCAAGAAAUAGCAUGAUUAGAAUCGUUAGAUUUGAUUGUAUAUAUACCUGCGAAAGAUGGCUUGAUCUUUCCUUCUUUGAUUGCUUGCAGGUAAUCUGGGCAGCUUCUCUUCCAAUGUCCUAUCUUGUGGCAGUGGUGGCACUCUGCCUCCUUCGGGUUAGAGCAGGGCUUAGCGGGAUCAACUUUGGUCCCACUAGAAGAGGCACCAUCUCGGGCUUUCACCUUGCGAUAGUUCUUCGAUGAAGCUUUCCUCUUCUUUCCCUUCCCUUGUCCAAUAGCCAAGACAGGAGCAGCGGGCGGAUUGGGAGUAGGUGCAACAGACUUGUCUUUGAAGUUGCUCUCAGCAACCCUCAAGAGACCUUGGAGCUUGCUUAGGGUGACCUCUUCUUUGUUCAUGUGGUAGGUCAUCCUAAAUUGAUUGUACAUCGGAGGCAAAGAGUGAAGCACCAUGUCGAUCGCCAAAUCCUCACCGAAGUCAACAUUUAACUUGCGAAGGCGGUCGACAUACCUUUGCAUCUUUUGCAAGUGCACGGUAAGAGAUUCUCCAUGACCCAUCUUCGCGGAAAUCAUGUUAGUGAAAAUCUCGUACCUCUCUUGUCUCGCGUUUUGGUGGUACCUCUCCAAUAAGUCUUGAUGCAUCUCGUACGGGUACAUGUCCUCGUAGGACUUUUGGAAUUCGGAGUUCAUGGUGGCGAUCAUGAUGCAAUGUACCUUCGUUGCAUCUCGCUCAUGAGUCUCAAAAGCGGUGAUUUCGGCGGGAGUAGCGAUUUCGGGGUUGAUUUUCUCGAGCUUCUCAUCGAGGACAUACUCCUUAUCCUCAUAGCGAGCAAUGGUGCGAAUGUAUCUUAUCCAUUCGCUAAAGUUCGUUCCAUCGAAGGUGACCUUUUGGCAAAGGCUCAUCAACGUGAAAGAACUAGCAGCAGCGUUGUUUGCGUUCGACAUCUACAAUUAGAAAAGGACAAAGAUAGAUUAGAAUAAGAAUCCCUAAUUAUCACCCAAUAAGAAAAUUAGGGCUAGGAUCCAACAAUAACAUUUACAUACUAGAAAAGGGAUGCCGUAAUCUAACAUGCAAAUAAAUUGAAGGUAAGUGAAUGACGAUUCACUAAUUCUCCAUCACAAAACUUAAACUAUUAGUCCUAAGUGUUUUUGAGAAUUCCUAGGUUCGGAUGAGAUUCAUUGAAACUAUUCAAUGGCAUGUUUAAAUCUCGAUAUGCCCCUCUUGUUUGUGACUGGGAUGCCGAGGAUCACAAAGCGGGUGUGAAUUACCAUGCAAAUUCACAUGGUGCCUUCAUUGUAACGAUCACCUAUUCGAUGUGCCGGUAAACCACACACGCUCCAUCGAACUAUGAUAAACAAUGAAUCACCCUUUGCCACCUUCGCUUAGAACCAAUUAGUGUGCCGGUAAACCACACACGCUCCACUAACAUCUUAGCAAGGUGCAAAGUGUAAUUUCAUGGGAUUGCAUCAAUUCACUUUUCCUAAAGUAACUAGGAUUGGGAAAUUUUAAAAUAUGUGUAGUUACUUUGUAUUUCUUAUUAUACUUUUAAUGAGAGGAUGAGGUUGCCCUAUCCUACCCGUUCGGCUAACGACCCUCCACCAAUCAAGCAAGCGGUGGGUGUGAGUGUACACCCAUUAAGCGCCAUUUUAUAGGCCGCAACCUUAUACCCACCUUAUAGAUCGGCUUCGUGAAUGAGGCCUACUAACGGUAAGACUAGCAUUUAGUUAUACAUAUAUAUAUUAUUCUAGUAAUAUCAUAUUAGUAUAGGGUUGUAUUUUAAAACUUUUAAAAUCUAGGGUUUGAAAUUUAAGUUGUCUAAAUUAAAACUUUUAAUCACAAAAGUAAAUUUCAAAACAUGAGGGUAGGUUUUAAACAUUUAAAACAUGGAGGAUCAAAUAACAAAUAAUUCCAAUUAACAAUUAAUAUCCUAAUUAUCUAUAUUUGAUUUAUUCAAGAUUUCUUUUUAAGAUAAUUACCAAAAUAAUUAAAAUAAUUAAUUAAUUAUCAUAUAAGGAAAUUAAAUAUUUAAUUAGUUGAUAAUUACCUUUAACUAGAUCAAGAUAAUAGUUAUAUUUAUCAGAAAAACGAAUUAAUGUUGAUCUAAUUAGUUUAUGGUAAGUUAAGAUAAGAUAAACACAAAGAAAUCCCGAAUCUGGCCAUUCCUGACGCCUGGACUCGCCGAGUGCACAAAUGGACUCGCCGAGUCAGGCCUACUCGCCGAGUCCACUUUGAGACUCGCCGAGUCCAUGACUCAGAAACCAAAAAAUCGAAUUUUGCAGGUUUGUUUCAGUUAAUCAAGCAACAAUUUAAAGAAAACCAAGCUAGGCUCUGAUACCACUGAUGGGUUUUAGCCAUAAGAACUUUCCUAUGUGCGCAUGCAAAACCCUAAUGCUUGGAUCUAGGCUUUCUAAUAAACAUGCAUUGAAUCCAAGUCUUCUAAUGACUAAUUAGGUUAAAUAACAACAUUGAAACAGAUCUAGAAUCAUACCUUUGAGUUCCUUGUUGAUCUUGAGGUCUUGGAGCUUCUAGAGUCACAAGUGUCACUCCUCUAAUGGCUUACAAACACCAAUAGCAAUAAGAAUGAUUUAGGAGAGAGGAGAGGGGAGGAAUUCGACCAGAGUUCUCUUGCUUUUUCAGAAGUGUCGAAUUCCCUAUGCCAUGGGGUCUAUUUAUACUUGUAGACUCCUUAAGGAUUACAGAUAAGUCCCUAUCAGAUAAUCUUCUCUUAAGGCUAUCCAAAUCCAUUCCUAGAUAACUCUAAUGGACGAUUUUAGCUAUCCUAAUCCUCUUAGAAUUCGUCCAUAGCAUAUCCAAAUGGAUUUACAGUCUAAAGCUUAACUAUCAAACAAUUGACAGUUUAUACCCCUUUAUUUAAUUAAUCUCUUUAAGUCACCAAAUUAAUUCUAAUUAAUUCUAUGACUUAUAUUAAUCAAAUAACAAAUAUAUUAUUCAUUAUAUUAUUCUCAUAAUAUAUUAAUAAUAUUUACUCUCUCUUAAUAAAUCAUCCUAUCAAGUUGCUAUGGUGAAGGCAACCCAAAAGGACCAUGCACAACCGGAUCAAAUACUUGCCUAAUAUAGUUACAGCCUUAGACACUAUUCCAACAGUCUCCCACUUGGAUAAGUCUAGUAACUAUACAAGUACAAUUCGGUUUGCAAUCGUAGCUCUCAAAGACGCUGUCAACUCUGAUCUAAUCAAUCUUGUCCUUUAGAUAAGGGAACGUACAGUCCUCUGUUAGAUAUCAUGCUGACAAUCCUAUGGAAUGGUUAGUCAAGCAUUUAGGUUUCUCGAUCUCUGAUUUAUUUGACAUAGAACUUAAUCGAACACAUCAAUUCAGUUCUGACCGGGCCCGGCACAUAAGUCAAAUCAAAUCAUCGAGCGGCCGAGAUAUCGCUUUUACCUUCUUAGAUAAAAGUUACAGAUAAACUUCGACUUAUAUGCAUUUACUUAUUCAUUAACCAACUAUACACAACAAUACGUUUUAUAACACCAAGUUACUGAUGCGUUUUCGUAUUAUCAAUGUACAAUCAAUUAACAAAUAAUAAACCAUAUAUCUAGGUUUUAAGACUAUAUGAUAUUAUCGUCUUGCGAUCACCUUUUAUAUCGUAUUCCAUAAGGUGAUUCCAGCAAGCGCGGGUUUAUUCCAAUGCUCAAAACUAGUUCAUAAGCACUCAUGAACGUUGCAGCAAUCCUUUGCUAUGUCUAACACCAUUUAGACAUUCUACACACCAAUUCAUGACAAUCUUCAUUCAUAUCUACUCCCAACAUAUGAACGAUUGUGGACCAUUUGAACAAUUCGAUUAUUCCUAAUAAACUCAAUUAUUCUGGAAGUCAAAACAUGCAAAGUGAAACAAUAGCUAAACAAUUAACAUAAGAUAGUAACAUUACUCAUAAAUAAAACUCCUUUAUUUAAUCAUCAAAUGUUAAUUACAUUUAUCUAUUACACGUUUCUAAUACUAUCUAAUCUAUGCUAAUAUCAUCCUUCAGCCCAAUACUCCUAGCAUGCUGCAAGUGCUUAACCCUACUCAGUCCCUUCGUAAGCGGAUCUGCUGGGUUAUCUUCUGAUGAUAUCCUCUUCACUACGAGUUGUCCUUCUUCUACACGAUGUCUAAUGAAGUGAUAUUUUCUGUCGAUAUGUCUUGAUCUACCAUGAUCCCUCGGUUCCUUGGUCAAGGCAACCGCUCCUUCGUUAUCACAGAAAAUCUCCAUGGGCUCCUUUAUGGCAGGUACAACUCCAAGAUCACCGAUGAAGUUCUUUAGCCAUAUUGCCUCCUUCGACGCUUCGCUCGCUGCAAUGUACUCUGAUUCGCACGUUGAAUCAGCUACGGUUUCCUGCUUGGAACUCUUCCAUGUCACUGCUCCUCCAUUUAGGGUAAAGACCCAGCCCGACUGCGAACGGUAGUUGUCCCUGUCGGUCUGAAAACUGGCGUCACUAUACCCUCGCACCUUCAAGUCAUCACUCCCUCCGAGGACUAAGAACCAUUCCUUCGUCCUCCGAAGGUACUUAAGGAUAUUCUUCACCGCAAUCCAAUGUGCUUUGCCAGGAUUCCCUUGAUAUCUGCUAACCAUGCUCAAAGCGAAGGCUACAUCAGGGCGAGUACAAGUCAUAGCGUACAUGAUUGAGCCAACUGCGGAAGCGUAUGGUACUCGGCUCAUUUCUGCUAUCUCAGCUUCGGUACUCGGACUUUGAGUCUUACUCAAUUUGGCAUUACUUUGUAUCGGUAGUUCUCCCUUCUUUGAGUUUUCCAUACUAAAACGUUUUAGUACCUUCUCUAAGUAAGUAUUCUGACUAAGUCCAAUUAGUCUCUUACUUCUUUCUCUUACUAUCCUUAUUCCCAAAAUGUAAGAAGCCUCUCCGAGGUCCUUCAUAGCGAAGCACUUCCCGAGCCAGGACUUAACCUCCUGCAGAGUCGGGAUGUCGUUUCCUAUGAGUAAUAUGUCAUCGACAUAUAGAACGAGGAAGCUUACUAUACUCCCACUGGCUUUGACAUAUACACAAGAUUCGUCUUCGCUUCGUACAAAUCCAAACUCUUUGACUUUCUCAUCGAAGCAAAGAUUCCAUCUGCGAGACGCUUGCUUAAGUCCAUAAAUGGACUUCUCAAGCUUACACACUCUAUCCGGAUGCUUCGGAUCCACAAACCCCUCUGGCUGAGCCAUGUAAACAUCCUCAGCCAACUUUCCGUUAAGGAAAGCGGUCUUGACAUCCAUUUGCCAAAUCUCAUAAUCAUGAAAUGCGGCAAUUGCUAGCAUCACUCUAAUAGAUUUAAUCUUCGCAACUGGUGAGAAGGUCUCAUCAUAGUCAACUCCGGGAGUUUGAGUAAAGCCCUUCGCAACCAAUCGCGCUUUAUAUGUGUGUACGUUUCCAUCCACGUCGGUCUUCUUCUUGAAGAUCCAUUUGCACCCAACGGUCUUACGUCCGGGCACAUAAUCAACCAAAUUCCAAACUUGGUUAUCAUACAUGGAUUGGAUCUCGCUAUCCAUUGCCUCUUUCCAUUUUGCAGACUCCGGGCCUGCCAUGGCUUCCUUAUAGCUAUUAGGUUCAUCAAGAUUUACUAGUGUACCAUCACUAAUAUACGUGUCCCCUUCGGUAGUAAUAUGAAAACCAUAAAACUGGGGAUGAACUCUAACUCUAUCGGAACGUCUAAGAGGUAAGGAUUCGUCAAUCGGUUCAACCGGAGUUUCCUCCUCGGGUUGAGUGCCAGCGGUAGAGGUUCCUUCAUCUAUCGACUCUUGAAUCUCUUCAAGUUCGAUUUGCCUCCCACUGUCUCCUUGGCUUAUGAGUUCUCGCUCUCGGAAAACUCCUCUCCUCGCAACGAAGACAACAUUGUCCUUCGGUCUAUAGAAGAGAUAUCCAAAGGAUGUCUGCGGGUAGCCGAUGAAAAUACAUCGCUCACUUCGAGGUUCAAGCUUGUCGUGAGUAUCUCGUCUUACGAAAGCCUCGCAACCCCAAACCUUGAUAUGUGCCAACGAGGGAGCUUUCCCUGUCCACAUCUCGUGAGGUGUUUUGGCAACCUUCUUAGUAGGGACUCGGUUAAGGAUAUGGGCGGCAGUCUCUAAGGCAUACCCCCAAAAAGAGAUAGGUAGUGAAGCACGACUCAUCAUAGAGCGAACCAUAUCCAAUAAGGUUCGAUUACGCCUUUCUGCCACACCAUUCAACUGCGGUGUCCUAGGAGGCGUCAAUUGUGAAACUAUUCCACACUCCUUGAGAUAAUCGUGGAAUUCAAGACUUAGGUACUCUCCUCCUCGAUCGGAUCGAAGCAUCUUGAUUUUCCUGCCCAAUUGAUUCUCCACUUCAUUCUUGAACUCUUUGAACUUUUCAAAAGUUUCUGACUUUUGCUUGAUUAAAUAGAUAUACCCAUAUCUACUAUAGUCAUCGGUAAAAGUCACGUAGAAGCGGUUCCCAUCCUUCGUGGUUGAUCUAAACGGUCCACAUACAUCGGUAUGUAUUAGGUCCAAUAGACCCUCACCCCUUUCACACGUACUUGUGAAGGGUGACUUAGUCAUCUUUCCAAGUAAACAAGAUUCGCAUGUGUCAUCUUCCCUAAGGUCGAAUGACUCCAACACUCCAUCCUUUUGGAGUUGGGCUAUGCGUUUCUUGUUGACAUGUCCAAGACGACAAUGCCACAAGGAUGCUUUAUCCAUACUAUUGGAAGAAUCUAUGUUCAAAACAUCAUUUCCU